AUGGCGAUGGUGAUGAGGAGAUCAGUAACGGCACUUAGCCUGAGCCAGAGCUCCCUCGCGCCAAGCUCGAGGCUGGGACGCUGCCGAAUCCGUCGCGCCAUGUGCUCCGGCGCGUGGCAGGAGGGGGAGUCCGAGGCGGCGGUGCGCGACGUCGUGUGCUUCGGCUCCGGGAGCCUGGACGAGGUGGGAAGCAGGCUGGAUCGCCUGAACUUUGCCAUAUCGCCGGCCCUGGUCAGGCGGGUGAUCGACUCGUGUAGCGAGAGGAGUGAUUCGGGCAGGAGGUUGCUGCGGUUCCUGUCGUGGUGCCGCUCCAAGGACCCCGCCGGAUUGGGGGAUGAGGAGCACGACAGGGCGAUUGCGGUGCUUGCACGGAUGGGUGACCUCACUGCGAUAAAAAUCGCCGUUGGAGAUGGGGAGAAGGAUGGGCGGAGGAUGGCCCCGGAGACGUUCACCGCCGUGGUCGAGGCUCUUGUCAAGGCAGGGAAGGAGGAUGAUGCUGUUAGGUUGUUCAGAGGCUUGGAGAGGCAGAAAUUGCUGCCUCAGCAAGGCCCGGGUGCUGGAGGGGAAGGCAUAUGGUGCAGCAGCCUUGCCAUGGUCCAGACAUUGUGCAUGAAGGGCUAUGCUCGCGAGGCGCAGGGUGUUGUGUGGCACCAUAAGAGCGAGCUCUCAGCGGAGCCCAUGGUCAGCAUCGUUCAGCGUAGCCUCCUCCAUGGAUGGUGUGUCCAUGGAAAUGCUAAGGAAGCUCGGAGAGUCCUUGAUGAUAUCAAGUCCUCAGGCUGCCCAUUGGGAUUGCCGUCGUUCAACGACUUUCUAAACUGCGUGUGCCACAGAAAUCUCAAGUUUAAUCCUUCUGCGCUUGUUUCUGAGGCCAUGGAUAUCUUAACUGAGAUGAGGUCCUAUGGUGUUACCCCUGAUUCCUCCAGCUUCAACAUUUUACUCUCUUGUUUGGGACGAGCAAGAAGAGUGAAAGAGGCAUACAAAAUCCUCUAUUUGAUGAGGGAAGGAGAAGAAGGGUGCUCACCUGACUGGGUUAGCUACUAUCUUGUAGUUAAGGUCCUCUAUUUGACCGAUAGAAUUAUCAGAGGGAAAAGGCUUGUAGAAGAUAUGCUUGAAAGUGGGGUGCUUCCGACAGCAAAGUUUUUCCAUGGCCUCAUCGGCAUCCUUUGUGGAACAGAGAAAGUUGAUCAUGCUCUUGACAUGUUCAAAAUUAUGAAGAGUUGUGGGUUAGUGGACACUCAUACAUAUGAUCUGCUUAUAGAAAAGCUUUCUAGGAGUGGUAGAUUCGAGGUUGCAAAGGAGUUAUGGGAUGAUGCUACUAAGAAUGGCAUUGUGUUAGGGUGCUCAUCGGAUCUGUUGGAUCCCUUGAAGACAGAAGUAUUCAGACCAGUUCGUCCUGCACAAAGACAGACCUCUCAGAACUGUAAGAGCUUGAUCCCAACUAAGAAGGGUACUGCUGCUGGAGCAAUAAAUAAGUAG
rnacentral:rRNA from 1 species